rnacentral:rRNA from 1 species
CCCUUAGAUGUUCUGGGCCGCACGCGCGCUACACUGAUGCAUUCAACGAGUCUAAAACCUGCUCUGAUAGGGGUGGGUAAUCUUUUGAAUGUGCAUCGUGAUUGGGAUAGAUGAUUGAAAUUUUUCAUCUUCAACGAGGAAUACCUAGUAAACGCAAGUCAUCAGCUUGCAUUGAUUACGUCCCUGCCCUUUGUACACACCGCCCGUCGCUCCUACCGAUUGAAUGAUCCGAUGAAUAUCAUGGAUUGAGGAUGCAAGUAGGUUCACCUAUCUUCAUCUUCGAGAAGUGAAGUAAAUCUUAUCAUUUAGAGGAAGGAGAAGUCGUAACA